CCUACGGGUGGCAGCAGUGAGGAAUAUUGGUCAAUGGCCGGAAGGCUGAACCAGCCAUGCCGCGUGAAGGUCAGUGCCCUAUGGGCGUUAAACUUCUUUUGUGCGGGAGCAAUAAUGGUCACGUGUGGCCAGACGAGAGUACCGUACGAUUAAGCAUCGGCUAACUCCGUGCCAGCAGCCGCGGUAAUACGGGGGAUGCAAGCGUUAUCCGGAUUUAUGGGGUUUAAAGGGUGCGCAGGCGGAGGUGCAAGUCAGCGGGCAAAUUGCGGGGCUCAACCCCGUACUGCCGUUGAAACUGCAUAACUUGAGUGCGCGAGAAGUAUGCGGAAUGCGUGGUGUAGCGGUGAAAUGCAUAGAUAUCACGAAGAACUCCGAUGGCGAAGGCAGCAUACCGGCGCGCAACUGACGCUCAUGCACGAAAGCGUGGGUAUCGAACAGGAUUAGAUACCCCAGUAGUC
rnacentral:rRNA from 1 species